UGGGGAAUUUUGGACAAUGGGCGGAAGCCUGAUCCAGCAAUGCCGCGUGAGUGAAGAAGGCCUUCGGGUUGUAAAGCUCUUUCAGUCGAGAAGAAAAGGCUAUGCCGAAUAAGUAUAGUUAAUGACGGUAUCGAAAGAAGAAGCACCGGCUAACUACGUGCCAGCAGCCGCGGUAAUACGUAGGGUGCAAGCGUUAAUCGGAAUUACUGGGCGUAAAGGGUGCGCAGGCGGUACUGUAAGUCAGAUGUGAAAUCCCCGGGCUUAACCUGGGAAUUGCGUUUGAAACUACAGAACUAGAGUGUAAUAGAGGGAGACGGAAUUCCAUGUGUAGCAGUGAAAUGCGUAGAGAUAUGGAAGAACAUCGAUGGCGAAGGCAGUCUCCUGGAUUAACACUGACGCU
rnacentral:rRNA from 1 species